UACGUAGGGUGCAAGCGUUAAUCGGAAUUACUGGGCGUAAAGCGUGCGCAGGCGGUUCGGAAAGAAAGGUGUGAAAUCCCAGGGCUUAACCUUGGAACUGCACUUUUAACUACCGGGCUAGAGUAUGUCAGAGGGGGGUAGAAUUCCACGUGUAGCAGUGAAAUGCGUAGAGAUGUGGAGGAAUACCGAUGGCGAAGGCAGCCCCCUGGGAUAAUACUGACGCUCAUGCACGAAAGCGUGGGGAGCAAACAGG
rnacentral:rRNA from 1 species